AGCGAACGCUGGCGGCAGGCUUAACACAUGCAAGUCGAGGAGAGCGGCAGACGGGUGAGUAACGCGUGGGAACGUACCUUUUGGUUCGGAACAACAAAGGGAAACUUGUGCUAAUACCGGAUACGGAAAGAUCGGGCCGCGUCUGAUUAGCUCGUUGGUAGGGUAAUGGCCUACCAAGGCGACGAUCAGUAGCUGGUCUGAGAGGAUGAUCAGCCACAUUGGGACUGAGACACGGCCCAAACGACUACGGGAGGCAGCAGUGGGGAAUGUUGGACAAUGGGGGCGACGCUGAUGCAGCCAUGCCGCGAGAGUGAGGAAGGCCCUAGGGAUGUAAAGCUCUUUUGUGCGUGAAGCGGUACCGCAAGAAUAAGCCCCGGCUAACUUCGUGCCAGCAGCCGCGGUAAUUC
rnacentral:rRNA from 1 species